CCACCCUCUGCUCGCCGCUCUGUCCCGUCCCCCCCACCCAUCCAAAAAAAAAAAAAAUCCCUCACUCUUUUCUGCCUCUCAGACAAUUUCUUCUUCUUCUAUUUUUUUUCUUUUUUUUUGGCGUUUCGAGGAAGUUUUCAGCAAAUCCACCCUCGCUCCCAGCUCUCGCAGGGCGCGAUAACACCGGAGCCCUCUGAAAGUUUGAGAAAAAGAGAGGAGGAGAAGCAGGGAGCGGGGAAAUAAAGAGCAGCGCCUAAGGAAGAGCGAGGAGACGCGCGGGAGCCGGAGGCUGCCCAGCCGGCAUCACCUCCCGGUGUCCCCUGAGGUCCCCCCGCAGCCCCGAGGGACGGGAAUCGCGGAGCGCUCGCUCUCGGCCUCCGGGGCUGGAGCAGCCCGGAUCCCGCUGCUGCUGCCGGGGAAUGAGACACAGCCGGGAGCGGGAGGAUGAGGGGGCACAGGACCAGCACACGCAGAAAUGCGGACAGACACACGUAAAUACAGACUAAACGUGCAGUGCGACCGCACGAGUGCUGGGAUCCAAGAGUUCCUCGUGAAUAAACGUGGCUGUUUGUGCACGGAAAUACCCCCAGGCACAGCACAAAAAUCGCGCGCGUGGAUGUGCAGGUGACGAGAUCUUCACAAACACUUGCCCAACAGCGUUUCCUCCAGCUCAAGCCAUCCCUGCCCCAUCCGCUAUUGGUUUUAUAUGGAUAUUUACGUUUUACCCAGGGUUUAAAGGCAGAUUUUUAGGUGCACACAAGCCUUAAUCUACCCCCACCCUCCGCCCAGCUCAGUGGGAGUGGGCGCAAAUCUACGCAGAAGGCGGGCGAGUGGAUCGGCGUGGACGCACCGCCUAUGCACCACACUGUCCCUACAUAUAUAUAUAUAUAUUUAUAUAUAAUCCAGAAACAGAAAUCCCCCACACGCAUUCCCCAGCAGCCACGGCCCCAAGCACCGUGGAGCACUUACCUCCGUGGGGGUGGCUGCUCCGUGCCUGUCCCCCCGAGUUCCGCGCAGCCCUGCCGGGCUCCCUCCCGGUUUUUUAGCUCCUGGGGCGCGCAGGACCCGGCCCGGGCAGCCCCGGGCGGCGGGGAGCCCCGGCUGGGGAGCCCCGCAUGCCGGAGCCCCGCACGGCCCCUGCAGGGUGUCCCUGGCCCGGAGCUUUCUCCUUGCGGGAAUUCCCGGGCAGCUGCAGGGAGGGGGAUGGCCGGGGUGCUGGCUCGCAGUGGGGUCGAGGUGUCAGCAGUAAGAAAUAGUGCCGAGCGUGAACUCACUCUCCCCCCGCCCGCCCUCCACACCCCUUUAAAAUCACUUUUUGGGUCGGCUUAACCAAAUCGAAGAGGCUUUUGCUUUUCUUUCGCGGCUCCUCGUCCUGCCCAGGACGGGGCAGCGCGGCCGCCCGGCUUAUGAAAUACAGAGACAUCAGCGCUUGUGGCUUCCCGACGCUUUUUUUUUUCCUCCUUGCCAUAUUUUCAGAGAAAAUCAGCUCCCUCCUAGCAGGGAUUAUUAUUUUUCCUUUCCAUUUUUAGAUAAUUUACUUCCCCUCUCGGACCAGUUCUCUUUUUGCUUUUAUUUUCCUUUUGUUGGCCGCUUUUCGCUUUGGCGAAAUACGCACCUGGGAGCAAACAAGUGUUUAAAAUAAUCCUCCUCUCUGGAAGCAUUUUUGUCCAUUCACUUAUUGGUUUGUAUUUUUUUUUUUAAUAUGUGUUGGGUUUUUCCUCCCAAUUGUUUCCUAUUUUCUUUCCCCUCAGUCGUGGGGGCAGGGACUGACUGCACUGAUCUGAGAGUUGGUAUCAACAAAAUAUUUGUAUGAAAGUCCCACCAAUACAGUUCUGUGGUGUCAUUAUUUCCAUUACAAAAUCCUGUAUUUAUUGCUGGAGAAUUGCUUCAGACGAGCCUUCGGGGGUAGAUACCUGGCUCGAGCUUUUUUCUUUUUCUUUUCUUUUUUUUUUAAAUUUUUUUUUCCUUUUUUGCAUUACAGGUGAAUAGCAUUUUUCUUUUACAGUUUGUGGUUUCGGUUGUUUUGGAUUUGGCUUUUGUUAGUUUGUUGGGGUUUUUUUCCCGCCCUUCUGGCUACCUUAAGAAAAAAAAAAUUGCAAUUAAAACCCUUUUCCCCUCCCUGAGCCCAUUAAUUUCCCAGGCGAGCUGCAGGCUUUGGAACGGUGACGAAAAUGAAAAAGAAGGAGCCGGGCAGAGGCAGGGCUUGGCGAGGCGCGGGCACAGCGCUGCCCUUCCGCACCUCCCACGCGUGGGGUGAAGAUCCCUUUUCCUCCUGGAUGCCAAGCAGUGCGUGAGGAUCCCCAAAUUAAUCCCCAAUGGAGCAGAAGGGAUCCAUUCUCUUCUCCCCGAUCCCUCCAAAAGACAUCUCUCAGGGAGGGGACUCCGGGGAGACAGGGGUCCACCACCCCCUCCCCAGUUUUUCCCCAGUGUUGCUCAGGAAAAGAGGGAAUUGUGCUGCAUUUCUCUUCGUGCCCAUUGCCGUGGGGGAUUUUUUGGCACGGGGCAUCCCCGCUCCAUUCCCCCCGCGGGCACGGCCGGGCUGAUCUGCUCUGCCCAACCAGGGCGUCAGUCAGGGCCUCAUCUCGGCCCCGAGGAGAAAAUAAAAGCUGAUAAGGCCUUCGCUCUCUUCGCUGCCUGGGCAGAAACGAAAUGGGGGCAAAAAAGGGGAAAUCCUCAGCGCCCCGUGCCUCUCCCUGAGAGCGAUCCUGCCCUGACCUUGGAGGGCGAGCGGGGGUGGCAAAAGGAGCCCGAUCCCGCAGGGUUUGAAUCUUUUCUGUGUCUGAUAAAAAGCCUCAAAGCAUCACCUGUGAAUGUUUUUCCUUCCCUCGCUCUCCCGGGGAGAGCAGCCCUGGGCGGGGGGAACCCCCGGGCAUCCCCAGUUCCCUCAUCCCGGCCGAAUUUCUUCCUCCCUUUCUCUCCAACUCAUUUUUCUUUCCCUCUUUUCUCCUUUCCAAGCCCUCUCGCCUCUUUUCUUCCCCAUUUUCUGUUUCCCCCCCCCUUUUCUCGCCCCCGGUCGCUUUUCUUCCCCUGCCCUAAAUAACGCCGAACGACAGCGCAGCGCGGCCGCUCUGGAUAUCCACAUUAUCCUUUGUAUUCCCGGCUAUCCACGAAUUUCGGGAGCGGGAGACGCUCCCAGAGAGGCGGGGGGUGGCUGUGGGCUCGGCCUUGGACCGGUAUCACGAGCAUCCUAAAAUCCAUUUUUAUCUCUGCGGGAAAAAUACAGAUUAUAUCAAUAACCCAAA